rnacentral:rRNA from 1 species
UACGGGGGGGGCAAGCGUUGUUCGGAAUUACUGGGCGUAAAGGGCUCGUAGGCGGCCAACUAAGUCAGUUGUGAAAUCCCUCGGCUUAACCGGGGAAUUGCGUCUGAUACUGGAUGGCUUGAGUUUGGGAGAGGGAUGCGGAAUUGCAGGUGUAGCGGUGAAAUGCGUAGAUAUCUGGAGGAACACCGGUGGCGAAGGCGGCAUCCUGGACCAACACUGACGCUGAGGAGCGAAAGCCAGGGGAGCAAACGGG